UACGUACUCCCUCCGUUCCGAAUUACUUGUCGCAGGUAUGGAUGUAUCUAGAUGUAUUUUAGUUGUAGAUACAUCCAUUUUUACGAUGAGUAAUUUGAAACGGAGAAAGUACAUC
rfam:Triticum urartu cultivar G1812 contig418778, whole genome shotgun sequence.